UGUGUGGUCUGGCAGGUGUGGAUUCCGCCGGUGAAGGCUGAAGGCAGCUACCUUAAAGAUGCCGGGAUCUGCAGCGAAGGGCUCGGAGUUGUCAGAGAGGAUCGAGAGCUUCGUGGAGACCCUGAAGCGGGGUGGUGGGCCGCGCAGCUCCGAGGAAAUGGCUCGGGAGACCCUGGGGCUGCUGCGCCAGAUCAUCACGGACCACUGCUGGAGCAACGCGGGGGAGCUGAUGGAGCUGAUCCGCAGAGAGGGCAGGAGGAUGACAGCCGCUCAGCCCUCCGAGACCACCGUGGGCAACAUGGUGCGGAGAGUGCUCAAGAUUAUCCGGGAGGAGUAUGGCAGACUCCAUGGACGCAGCGACGAGAGUGAUCAGCAGGAGUCCCUGCACAAACUGUUGACAUCCGGAGGCCUGAACGAGGAUUUCAGCUUCCAUUAUGCCCAACUCCAGUCCAACAUCAUUGAGGCGAUUAAUGAGCUGCUAGUGGAGCUGGAAGGGACAAUGGAGAACAUUGCAGCCCAGGCUCUGGAGCACAUUCACUCCAAUGAGGUGAUCAUGACCAUUGGCUUCUCCCGAACAGUAGAGGCCUUCCUCAAAGAGGCUGCCCGAAAGAGGAAAUUCCAUGUCAUUGUAGCAGAGUGUGCUCCUUUCUGCCAGGUAAGGAGACUGCUGGAGUUGCUACUAAGAAAAAUGAAAAAUGAAGAAGAAAUAAACAAGGAUGGGUAGGGCCAUUCCAACCUUGAAUUGAUAAGCAAGACUUUGAGACACUGAGA
rnacentral:sRNA from 1 species